AGCCACAUGGCUACGACGGGUAGCCGGCCUGAGAGGGUGACCGGCCACACUGGGACUGAGACACGGCCCAGACUCCUACGGGAGGCAGCAGUGGGGAAUAUUGGACAAUGGGCGGAAGCCUGAUCCAGCAACGCCGCGUGGGGGAUGACGGCCUUCGGGUUGUAAACCUCUUUCAGUACGGACGAAGCGCAAGUGACGGUAGGUACAGAAGAAGCACCGGCCAACUACGUGCAGC
rnacentral:rRNA from 1 species